rnacentral:rRNA from 1 species
UACGUAGGGUGCGAGCGUUAAUCGGAAUUACUGGGCGUAAAGGGCGCGUAGGCGGCCCACUAAGUCGGACGUGAAAUCCCUCGGCUCAACCGAGGAACUGCGUCCGAUACUGGCGAGGCUUGAAUUCGGGAGAGGGAUGUGGAAUUCCAGGUGUAGCGGUGAAAUGCGUAGAUAUCUGGAGGAACACCGGUGGCGAAGGCGGCAUCGGGGACCGACAUUGACGCUGAGGAGCGAAAGCUAGGGGAGCAAACGGG